rnacentral:rRNA from 1 species
UCGUGCGAGAAGGAGACUUCGGUCUCUGAGUAGAGCGGCGCACGGGUGAGUAACGCGUGGAUGAUCUACCCUUGAGUUCGGGAUAACGGUGCGAAAGCGCCGCUAAUACCGUAUAACAAUCCAUUUCAUCGUGGGUUCAAAGCAGGCCUCUUCAUGAAAGCUUGCGCUUGGGGAUGAGUCCGCGUCCCAUUAGCUUGUUGGCGGGGUAACGGCCCACCAAGGCUACGAUGGGUAGCUGGUCUGAGAGGAUGAUCAGCCACACUGGAACUGAAACACGGUCCAGACUCCUACGGGAGGCAGCAGUGGGGAAUAUUGCGCAAUGGGGGAAACCCUGACGCAGCGACGUCGUGUGAGGGAAGAAGGCCUUCGGGUCGUAAACCUCUGUCAGAAGGGAAGAACAUCCGGGAGUCGAACAGCCUCCCGGCCUGACGGUACCUUCAGAGGAAGCGCCGGCUAACUCCGUGCCAGCAGCCGCGGUAAUACGGAGGGCGCAAGCGUUAAUCGGAAUCACUGGGCGUAAAGCGUGCGUAGGCUGUUUGAUAAGUCAGACGUGAAAUCCCUCGGCUCAACCGGGGAACUGCGUUUGAUACUGUUGAACUAGAGUCCUGGAGAGGGUGGCGGAAUUCCUGGUGUAGGAGUGAAAUCCGUAGAUAUCAGGAGGAACACCGGUGGCGAAGGCGGCCACCUGGACAGGUACUGACGCUGAGGUAUGAAGGCGUGNGGAGCAAACAGGAUUAGAUACCCNGGUAGUCCACGCGGUAAACGAUGG